UCCAGUGUGGUGUAGCGGUUUGAGUGUUGGACUUUGACUCUGAAGAUCAGGGUUCGAUUCCUGGCUCGAG